GAUGAACGCUGGCGGCGUGCCUAAUACAUGCAAGUCGAGCGAACAGACGAGGAGCUUGCUCCUCUGACGUUAGCGGCGGACGGGUGAGUAACACGUGGAUAACCUACCUAUAAGACUGGGAUAACUUCGGGAAACCGGAGCUAAUACCGGAUAAUAUAUUGAACCGCAUGGUUCAAUAGUGAAAUACGGUUUUGCUGUCACUUAUAGAUGGAUCCGCGCCGCAUUAGCUAGUUGGUAAGGUAACGGCUUACCAAGGCAACGAUGCGUAGCCGACCUGAGAGGGUGAUCGGCCACACGGGAAGUGGGACACGGUCCAGACUCCUACGGGAGGCAGCAGUAGGGAAUCUGCCGCAAUGGGGGAAAGCCUGACGGAGCAACGCCGCGUGAGUGAUGAAGGUCUUCGGAGCGUAAAACUCUGUUAUUAGGGAAGAACAAAUGUGUAAGUAACUAUGCACGUCUUGACGGUACCUAAUCAGAAAGCCACGGCUAACUACGUG
rnacentral:rRNA from 1 species